GUCGAGCGGUAGAGAGAAAGCUUGCUUCUCUUGAGAGCGGCGGACGGGUGAGUAAUGCCUAGGAAUCUGCCUGGUAGUGGGGGAUAACGUUCGGAAACGGACGCUAAUACCGCAUACGUCCUACGGGAGAAAGCAGGGGACCUUCGGGCCUUGCGCUAUCAGAUGAGCCUAGGUCGGAUUAGCUAGUUGGUGGGGUAAUGGCUCACCAAGGCGACGAUCCGUAACUGGUCUGAGAGGAUGAUCAGUCACACUGGAACUGAGACACGGUCCAGACUCCUACGGGAGGCAGCAGUGGGGAAUAUUGGACAAUGGGCGAAAGCCUGAUCCAGCCAUGCCGCGUGUGUGAAGAAGGUCUUCGGAUUGUAAAGCACUUUAAGUUGGGAGGAAGGGCAGUUACCUAAUACGUGAUUGUUUUGACGUUACCGACAGAAUAAGCACCGGCUAACUCUGUGCCAGCAGCCGCGGUAAUACAGAGGGUGCAAGCGUUAAUCGGAAUUACUGGGCGUAAAGCGCGCGUAGGUGGUUUGUUAAGUUGGAUGUGAAAUCCCCGGGCUCAACCUGGAACUGCAUUCAAAACUGACUGACUAGAGUAUGGUAGAGGGUGGGUGGGAAUUUCCUGUGUAGCGGUGAAAUGCGUAGAUAUAGGAAGGGAACAGC
rnacentral:rRNA from 1 species